GCCGCUAUGGUGAAAUGGUAGACACGCUGCUCUUAGGAAGCAGUGCGAGAGCAUCUCGGUUCGAGUCCGAGUGGCGGCA
rnacentral:tRNA from 5 species